GAUGAAGAACGUAGCGAAAUGCGAUAAGUAAUGUGAAUUGCAGAAUUCCGUGAAUCAUCGAAUCUUUGAACGCACAUUGCGCCCCUCGGUAUUCCGGGGGGCAUGCCUGUCCGAGCGUCAUUACAACCCUCAAGCUCAGCUUGGUGUUGGGCCCCGCCGCCCCGGCGGGCCCUAAAGUCAGUGGCGGUGCCGUCCGGCUCCGAGCGUAGUAAUUCUUCUCGCUCUGGAGGUCCGGUCGUGUGCUCGCCAGCAACCCCCAAUUUUUUUCAGGUUGACCUCGGAUCAGGUAGGGAUACCCGCUGAACUUAAGCAUAUCAAUAAGCGGAGGA
rnacentral:misc_RNA from 1 species